rnacentral:rRNA from 1 species
CCUACGGGUGGCAGCAGUGAGGAAUAUUGGUCAAUGGGCGCGAGCCUGAACCAGCCAAGUCGCGUGAAGGAUGACUGCCCUACGGUUUGUAAACUUCUUUUAUAAAGGAAUAAAGUUAUGCACGUGUGCCUUUUUGUAUGUACUUUAUGAAUAAGCAUCGGCUAACUCCGUGCCAGCAGCCGCGGUAAUACGGAGGAUCCGAGCGUUAUCCGGAUUUAUUGGGUUUAAAGGGAGCGUAGAUUGGUUGUUAAGUCAGUUGUGAAAGUUUGCGGCUCAACCGUAAAAUUGCAAUUGAUACUGGAAGUCUUGAGUACAGUUGAGGUAGGCGGAAUUCGUGGUGUAGCGGUGAAAUGCAUAGAUAUCACGAAGAACUCCGAUUGCGAAGGCAGCUUACUAAGCCAUAACUGACACUGAUGCUCGAAAGUGUGGGGAUCAAACAGGAUUAGAUACCCCAGUAGUC